rnacentral:rRNA from 1 species
CGGGAAUUUUGGGCAAUGGGCGAAAGCCUGACCCAGCAACGCCGCGUGAGGGAUGAAGUAUUUCGGUAUGUAAACCUCGAAAGAAUGGGAAGGAUAAAUGACGGUACCAUUUAUAAGCUCCGGCUAACUACGUGCCAGCAGCCGCGGUAAUACGUAGGGAGCAAGCGUUGUUCGGAUUUACUGGGCGUAAAGGGCGCGUAGGCGGCGCGGUAAGUCACUUGUGAAAUCUCUGAGCUUAACUCAGAACGGCCAAGUGAUACUGCUGUGCUAGAGUGCUGAAGAGGCAACCGGAAUUCUUAGUGUAGCGGUGAAAUGCGUAAAUAUCAAGAGGAACACCUGAUGCGAAGGCGGGUUGCUGGGCCGACACUGACGCUGAUGCGCGAAAGCCAGGGG